CAAAUUGUGUUGCUUUUGAGGGGAGACCCAAUUGGAAAAGUAUGUGAAAAAUCAGCUCUGCAGAACGCGUCUAUCUAUGUUUCCUGAACGUUUGUGGUUAAAACGGAACGCUACACCUGUAGAAAGGACAAAUGUGAGACCAGUAGCGGAAUCUCUGUUGUUUCCGGCACACAGGCACAUGGCUACUUUAAAAUUCAAAACAAAGGCAGGCACCCGGCUAGACAAACACGCUGUGAAUCGGUAAAGAAAGAACAAGGAAGUCUUACUUUUUGGGAAAAACCAACAACAUUUUAAUAAUUAAAACACACCACUUAACCAAAACGAAUGUAAUAAAAUAAAUGAAAAUAAAAAAAU